AGUUAAGUUAAUAAGGGCGUACAGUGAAUGCCUUGGCACUAGUUGGCGAUGAAGGACGCGACUACCUGCGAAAAGCGACGGGGAGCUGGAUAGUGAGCUUUGAUCCGUUGAUAUCCGAAUGGGGGAACCCGGUAUGAGUAAUGUCAUAUCAUUCUGAGAUGAAACAAUAGUCUCAGAAAGAAACACCUAGGGAAUUGAAACAUCUUAGUACCUAGAGGAAAAGAAAGAUUUAAUCGAUUCCGUCAGUAGCGGCGAGCGAAAGCGGAACAGCCCAAACCAGGUCUUCGGAUCUGGGGUAUGGAGCGCGACAUGGAAUGAGUUGUUUAAUAGUAGAACUACCUGGAAAGGUAGGCCAUAGAAGGUGAGGAGCCCUGUAUACGAAUGUGUGAACAACCUCCUAGCGAUUUCCAGAGUACGGCGAGGCACGUGAAACCUUGUCGGAAGAUAUGCAGACCACUGCAAAAGGCUAAAUACACACUAGUGACCGAUAGUGAACCAGUACCGUGAGGGAAAGGUGAAAAGAACCCCGGGAGGGGAGUGAAAAGAAUCUGAAACUGUAUGCUUACAAAAAGUCAGAGGCCGUUAAAGGCUGAUGGCGUGCCUAUUGAAGAAUGAACCGGCGAGUUAUGAAGUCGUGCAAGGUUAAGCUGAAUAAGCGGAGCCGAAGUGAAAGCGAGCCUUAACAGGGCGUUUAGUACGAUAUCAUAGACCCGAAACCUGUCGAUCUAUCCAUGAGGAAGUUGAAGGUGGGGUAAGACCCACUGGAGGACUGAACCGACCCUCGUUGCAACGCUGGCGGAUCACUUGUGGAUAGGGGAGAAAUUCCAAUCGAGAUAGGAUAUAGCUGGUUCUCCCCGAAAUAGCUUUAGGGCUAGCGUCAAGGAACUACAUGGUGAAGGUAGAGCUACUGAAUGCAUGAUGGCCGUCUCAAGGCGGUACUGAAUGUAAUCAAACUCCGAAUUACAUCAUGCGUACCUUGGCAGUCAGACUGUGGGGGAUAAGCUCCAUGGUCAAAAGGAAAACAGUCCAGACCGUCGUUUAAGGUACCUAAAUUCAGGCUAAGUGUUAAAGGAUGUGGGAAUGCAUAGACAGCUAGAAUGUUGGCUCAGAAGCAGCCAUCAUUUAAAGAGUGCGUAAAAGCUCACUAGUCGAGUGCUCCUGCGCCGAAGAUUUACCGGGGCUAAAGCAUGAUACCGAAGACACGGAUUCGUACUUUGUACGAGUGGUAGGGGAGCGUUCUACUGGGGUUGAAGCCAUACCGAGAGGAGUGGUGGACUAAGUAGAAGUGAGUAUGCCGGUGUGAGUAACGCUUGAGGGUGAGAAUCCCUCACACCAAUAGACUAAGGUUUCCUGGGUAAAGGUCGUCUUCCCAGGGUUAGUCAGGACCUAAGGCGAGGUCGAAAGGCGUAGUCGAUGGACAUCAGGUUGAUAUUCCUGAACCUGCAAAUAUGUGAUGGAGUGACAGAGAGGGCUAACUGGUCCCGGUUAUUGGAUUCCGGGUCAAGCGAGGUACCCGUAAGAUAGGUAAAUCCGUCUUACACUAGGGGAAAACGUGACGAGGAGUGAACGGGGAAACCCUUGUAGCGAAGUCAGUGAUGCCAGCUUUCAAGAAAAGCUUCUAAACUUAAGUAUUUGUGGCCUGUACCGAGAACGGACACACGUGGUCAAGAUGAGUAUUCUAAGGUGAGCGAGAUAACUGUUGUUAAGGAACUCUGCAAAAUUACUUCGUAAGUUAGCAAGAAGAAGUGCUCCCGCAAGGGAGUCGCAGUGAAGAGGCCCAGGUAACUGUUUAGCAAAAACACAGCUCUAUGCUAAGCCGCAAGGCGACGUAUAUGGGGUGAUGCCUGCCCAGUGCUGGAAGGUUAAAAGGAGAGGUUAGUCGCAAGGCGAAGCUUUGAAUUGAAGCCCCAGUGAACGGCGGCCGUAACUAUAACGGUCCUAAGGUAGCGAAAUUCCUUGUCAGGUAAGUUCUGACGCGCACGAAUGGUAUAAUAAUCUGGGCGCUGUCUCGACAGCAGACUCGGUGAAAUCUUAAUGCCUGUGAAGAUGCAGGCUACCCGCAACUAGACGGAAAGACCCCAUGGAGCUUUACUAUAACUUAAUAUUGAUAGUUUGUAAUUUAUGCACAGGAUAGGUAGGAGACUUAGAAACUUCGGUUUUGGCCGGAUGGAGUCAACGUUGGGAUACUACUCUUAGAUUAUGGAUUAUCUAACUUACCCCCUCAUCGGCGGGAAGGACAGUGUUAGGCAGGUAGUUUGACUGGGGCGGUCGCCUCCCAAAAUGUAACGGAGGCGCCCCAAGGUACCCUCGAUAUGGUUGGAAAUCAUAUUAACGAGUGCAAAGGCAUAAGGGUGCUUGACUGCGAGACUUACAAGUCGAGCAGGGACGAAAGUCGGGCUUAGUGAUCCGGCGGUCCCGCGUGGAAGGGCCGUCGCUCAACGGAUAAAAGCUACCCUGGGGAUAACAGGCUGAUUCCAUCCAAGAGUUCACAUCGACGAUGGAGUUUGGCACCUCGAUGUCGGCUCAUCACAUCCUGGAGGGGAAGUACCUUCCAAGGGUUUGGCUGUUCGCCAAUUAAAGUGGUACGCGAGCUGGGUUCAAAACGUCGUGAGACAGUUUGGUCCCUAUCUGUUGUGGGCGUAGGAAGUUUGAGAGGAUCUGUCCUUAGUACGAGAGGACCGGGAUGGACAUAGCAAUGGUACACCAGUUGUUCCGCCAGGAGCAUAGCUGGGUAGCUACCUAUGGACGACAUAAACGCUGAAAGCAUCUAAGCGUGAAGGUCACCUCAAGAUUAGACUUCCCAUUCGCAAGAAGUAAGACCCCCGGAAAACCACCGGGUUGAUAGGCUGGAAAUGUACGUGCUGCGAGGCACUUAGUUGACCAGUACUAAUAGGUCGAGGACUUAAUUUC
rnacentral:rRNA from 1 species